rnacentral:rRNA from 1 species
UAGGGAAUCUUCCGCAAUGGACGAAAGUCUGACGGAGCAACGCCGCGUGAGUGAAGAAGGCCUUCGGGUCGUAAAACUCUGUUGCCGGGGAAGAACAAGUGCCGUUCGAACAGGGCGGCGCCUUGACGGUACCCGGCCAGAAAGCCACGGCUAACUACGUGCCAGCAGCCGCGGUAAUACGUAGGUGGCAAGCGUUGUCCGGAAUUAUUGGGCGUAAAGCGCGCGCAGGCGGCUUCUUAAGUCUGAUGUGAAAUCUUGCGGCUCAACCGCAAGCGGUCAUUGGAAACUGGGAGGCUUGAGUGCAGAAGAGGAGAGUGGAAUUCCACGUGUAGCGGUGAAAUGCGUAGAGAUGUGGAGGAACACCAGUGGCGAAGGCGGCUCUCUGGUCUGUAACUGACGC